UUUUAAUGAUGUAAUAAUUACAUUAGAUGUUUGUUUCAUUACAAUACGUUAUUCUGAUUGGCUAACUGCACAUCAUGUGUUAUUCCUUAAGCAGUUGUAUCACUCAAUAAAACUUCUCAUUCAUGAUGACACGAGGUCCCACAAUAAAGUGCACAGGUAAAUGAAAUAAAAACUUGAUAAAAGGCGUGUUUUCAUGAUCCUAUAGGUAAAAAUGUAAUUAUAAGUAUUGAAUGCUUUUUUUUGUAACUUUAUAGGGUUGUAAAAGCGUUGACCGUGCGCACAUUUUAAGUAUGAAGCGCUUCCGCGCUUCAUACAAAAUGUACUUCGGUCAACGCUUUUACACCCCAAUAAAUUUACAAAAAAGAGCAUUCAAUUCUUAAUUAUU
rnacentral:lncRNA from 1 species